rnacentral:misc_RNA from 1 species
UCUCCGUUGGUGAACCAGCGGAGGGAUCAUUACCGAGUUUUUCUACUCCAACACCCCUGUGAUCUUAUACUUUUACUGUUGCUUCGGCGUGUCAACGCCCCGGACGGCCCAAAAAGCCGCCGGAACCAGGCGCCCGCCGGGGAACCCAAACUCUUGUAUUUCUUACUUUGCAUGUCUGAGUGGAAUCAUAAACAAAUGAAUAAAAGCUUUCAACAACGGAUCUCUUGGGUCUGGCAUCGAGGAAGAACGCAGC